UCCCUGGUAGCCUAGCAGGUGAAGGAUCCAGCAUUAUCACUGCUGUGGCACAGGUUUGACUCCUGCCCAGGAAC
rnacentral:tRNA from 1 species